rnacentral:lncRNA from 1 species
GUCUUCUCUUUGUGUGUGUGUGUGUUUUCUUGUUGUUGGGGGAUUGACUUAUCUUUCAUACUGUUCAUCCCAAGGGAUUAAAAGGGUAUGAUUCUCUCUCAUGUGACAAACUUCAUGCAGAUAUAAACCGAGAUUACAGGGAUGAAUAUGAUGUGGAAGUUCGGCCAAAGACCAAAGUGAAAAGAAAACACUAUAGCUAAGGAAUUUGGUUGUGGCUGCCACAUUGCUGUUC